rnacentral:lncRNA from 1 species
CCGAUGCUGCAAUCAGUCCUGUGCGACGCCGUUACGUACUCGUCAGCGAGGCAGUCUUCGCUGCUUUCCCUGCUGGUCAACGCGGUGAGCCUUCGCACCCGACUGCUGGGGGCCAAGACACCGCGCCUUCGUAGAUUCCUUUCUGUGGCCGUAUCGCCUUUUAUGGACUCGGGUCCAGCCGCCUACUCGGAAAUGCCAGGACACAGCGCCUUCGUGCCUUCCUGUCUGCGGCCGUAUCACAUUUUAUGGACA